rnacentral:lncRNA from 1 species
UGCGCUAAGGAAGAUGUGGAGGUACAGGGAUGCUGCGGAGCACUAAUUACAGCUGAGCUGUCUUGGACGGGCUGGGUGUGGAAGGUGCGGAGAAUUGCGAUCCAGAGAUGGGUUUGAAUGGUGGGGGGUGGGGGUGGCGGUCACGCCGAACCUUCGGAUUAUCAAACACAAUACGUCAUUGCGUUCUGUGGGGAUUGGCUGGUCUUCUGUACGCGUUUCCCAAAUCGCUUCUAUUUUUCUCAUCAGAAUCGUGCUGCUCCGGCCGGUCCUCGCCUCUGGAACUGCGGAAAUCCGACGGAAUUUACCGGGGUGAUUUGCAUGGGAAUUUCAAUCAAGGCAUUUGAUUCAGCUGCUGGAAUUACUGGUGCCAGUAAUCGACUGUCACGCGGAGGAGAGAAGCGAGGGACCUGUCCGCAACGACUUUUUUGAGUCUUUCACUAAGGAUUAC